UGGGAAGGGAGUACUUGUAUCUUCUGUGGUACUGAGCAGCAACUCCUUUUUGUGACCAAGAAAGAAAAGAAAAACACACCGAGUUACGCUUCCUGGCACCUUUUCCAGCUCCUCUGGAGAACUUGGCCCUUGCUAGUCAGCAAGAAGACCUUGAGCAAGAGAAGAAUCUCCUCCUGCCAAGCUUUCUUCCCCAGCAGAGGCCAACUUGUAGUAACGCGGUGUGGAGAUGAGUCAGUGCAAAAUGGACUUGGUAAACACUUUUACCCUCCUUCUCCAGAGACAGCUGCACUUAUUGCUUCAUCCAAGAACCACUGAGGGGGAGAGGGAUUGAACACUCCUCACUGGAAUCCUGGGCAGCAGCUCCUGUGAAGAACAGGUACCUGAGGAGCAUGAGAGAAAAGCUGGGAUUGUAUCUGGAACGAGCUCUCUGCAGCUCUGGGAGAAUAACAACCAGCUCUUUGGGUAAGGGACAAUGCUCUGAGGAUUGUUCAGCUGGACCUAAAAGUUUUUGGGCUGUGAAAUGUAGAAUUAGAGAAAAUGUGGGAUUAGAGAAGCAUGGAAGAUAACUACAGAGUUCCCUGCAAAUGAAGACUCUGGCUUUACAUACUUGGCCUCUGGGAAAAAAUACAGGCAGAAUUGGCUUGUAAAGCAGAAAACAUGUUGGUUCUUCAUCCAGUUUUGAAACAAAAAACCCCCAGACAACAAAAGCAUUCAUUUGGGUUUUUACACCACCAGAUGACUGUCUAAAACAUGUAUUCUCAAUCACUGUCUGUGUGUAUAUUUAGUACAAAACCAUGUUUAUGCAACCAAAGAUAAGCCAAGAGACUUGUGUUAUCAUGUGAUGUUAGCAAACUUACUCUCACAGGAAGACAAAUAGUUUAUUAAGCAUCCUGACCCUGGAAUUUGAGCACCUCUGCUUUUCCAUCCAUAAAUCCUCCUAAAUCGAUGGCUUCUGGGUGUUGAUGGCUCGCCUUAGGCCCUCUCUACAUACCAUCCUUAGGGAAGGAAGCUUGGGAUAUCUGUUUCAGGUUCCAGCUGCUGUGCUGGGGGAUGUGAGAAGCGUGCUCAGGCUCAUUAAAUCUGCAGGACUUGGAAGCUGUGCCCGUGGUGACACCACAGACAACAUUCCAGUGAGACCCAAGCGCUGGAACUCUUUGGCAUCAAGCACAGCCCAUGUGAGAGCUCAGGAGCAGUUCCAGAGCCGACUCCAACACGUCUCCUUGUUUUUCAGCUGCUGACAUAGAGGUGGUUUUUUAAAAAAAGUCCAAAAUGAAACAGAUGUCCUUGGGGAAGCUGGAGAUGGAAAUAUUUCUCGUGUGAGCCAUCUCACACACAUGGACUGGAGGCUGCUUUGGGAGGUUUCUCCAGAGACCAGAGACCUUUCCCGCAGGUUGUGGGGAGCAGAGCUUUUUCCUGCCUGGAAUUUGGUGGGCAAAACACGACACAGUGCUUGAGGUGGAAUUCUUAAGCACCCAGAGGAUAAAAUCCUACAGGAAUAUAUUUCCCCAGGCUAAGAGAGGACAGUACUUUUUAAAAACAUGGAUAAGCCAGCUAUGCUGCUGCGCCAUCUCAGUUGUUUCCAACUACAGGCAGAGAUCCAGAGACAUCCUGGAUCCGAAAGAUCCACUCUGGAUUCCAAGAGAAGGAAUCUUUCCCUUUAAGCCUGCUCAUUUCUUCAGUUUAACACAACCAACCUGAAAUACUCUAUUUCUUUUAAACUCUGGUUGCUUUUGAAUUGCUUUCAUCUAGAGUGUGAAAUUCCAAGUCACUGUGAAAAAGCUGCCUUAGGAAUAUUCUUGGCGAUGCUGCAAGCAGAAAGUACAGGAAACCUCCCAAGAGAGGUUGUUCCAGCAACACUGCCAUCCACGUUUCACAGCUGCAGGGACAUCCAGAGCAAAUCCAAACACCAGCUUUUCCCUUCAACAGAGCCUUUGCUGAGGUACAGCUGCCCAGGAUCCAUCCCUGGAAGUGUGCAAGGCCAGGCUGGACGGGGCUUGGAGCAACCUGGGACAGUGGAUUAUUCUUCCAGAGGAAUAAAGGAGGUUCUGUUCCAGCUUUUGAGGAUACACCAACUCCCAAAAGGCAUCCUGGGGCCUGUUGUUAUUUUGGGAUGCCUCAGCCCCAGCUGGAUUCAGACAGAAGUUAACCAACAGCAUUUAAUUACAGCCACAUCAGAGGCUUGUGUCAAACAGUGCAGUCCAUACAGAAAAUGGAAAGUAAUUGUGUAAGGACUGAAGACCUUAAAUCAUAUAAGUGGAAGGAGUAAAGAGAAUUCAGGUUCAAAGUGGAAACAGCACCUUAGUGCAGCAAAAGCCCCCCAGCCUGGCAGGAUUUGGCAUUUUGGAGUGCAAUAGCCAAGGGAAUGAGUUGGAAGAGGCUAAAGUUGCCCAGGAUUUGCACCCAAAAUGUGUGAUCUUGAUGCUUCAGGGGCAAGGCAAUGUGAAGGGACAAUGAAUAUACGUGAGGGAGCAAAGACAAGGCAUGGGAUCAAGCCAUAAGGAAUUGAUCUACUCUGUAAUAAACUGGUUGUUCGGGGCUGCCUUUCAUCCCUGUCAGGGAGAUGCCAUGAGCACCACCCACGGAAUACACGGGUUUUAAAGAGCAAAAGCUGAGGAGGCUGAGGUCAAGCAAGGACAAGUAAACUCCGACUGGAAUUGCUCUUAGCGAGGGGCCUCGUUUGUUUUUGGACUCCUGUGCGAAGUCAGGAGCAAAGAAGGCACUUAGAUUCCAGGAGCGGGAAGUUUUGGAACAGAAGCAGACAGAAGAUAUUGCCGUGGUGGGGCUAAAAGUGAGACAGAACAUUUUCCUUACUCCUGAGGGAUGUGCACUGGGAACAGGCAAAAGGUGGGUGCAUCCAAGUGACAAGAAGGUUUUGCUAUGAAAUGAGAACAUACAGCAUAAAAUCUCCAGCACUUAAUAAAUAUAAGAGUAAACCAAACAUUUUCCUCCUUCUCCCAACAAAACAACUUGGCAAAUGCAUCGGCAAAGGCAGGUGAAUAAUCGAGUCACUCUUGGUUCUCAGCUCUCCAGGGAAUUUCAGGUACUUUGGAAUCUUGUGGCUCAUGGCAUGGCAAUAACGUGAAGUUCUUAGAUUGGGCAUUUUUAGAGUUUUCUUCUUCUUUUUGUCUACAUACAAAUUUUUUUUGUGCUAGCAAG